rnacentral:rRNA from 1 species
AAUCAACGCUGGCGGCGUGCCUAACACAUGCAAGUCGAACGAGAAAGUGGAGCAAUCCAUGAGUAAAGUGGCGCACGGGUGAGUAACACGUGACUAACCUACCCUUGAGUGGGGGAUAACCUAGGGAAACCUGGGCUAAUACCGCAUAAUACCUACGGGUCAAAGGAGCAAUUCGCUUUAGGAGGGGGUCGCGGCAGAUUAGUUAGUUGGCGGGGUAAUGGCCCACCAAGACGAUGAUCNGUAUCCGGCCUGAGAGGGCGCACGGACACACUGGAACUGAAACACGGUCCAGACUCCUACGGGAGGCAGCA